UGCACAGGAACUCCGCGUCCGAGCCGCACUGCACCACCUCCGUGCGGAGCGUCCUGACGUCACCACAACAACACUCACUCACUACCCACGACCAUCAUCUCUCAGUCAAAAAAACACGCGUGGCACUCGGGGACUGCCGCGGCAACGCUUCCGAUAGAUCAUCAAAGUCUCGGAGGUCAGCCACCUGAAAAACAUUGGUCAAAAAUUGCGGAGGCGAAGGACUCCGCGCUGGAGUAGUGGUCGCGGCGCGUGUGCGAGGAGAGCAGGCGCGUGCGGGCGCGCACCGAGCCGCCGCUCUCCGACCGGAACAGCACCGAGCGCUGGUCCAAGAACAGCAGCUCGCACCGCUCCUGUCAACACGAUAUCAACUCUGCCUCCUCUGGUGAAGUGAGCGCCAGCGUGCCUGAAGUACCACCGCGCGCGCCCAGAGAAAAAGCGGCCAACGCGUCUUCCCAGUAGUUUAUGCUCGUUUCUAGUGCCUCCAUCCCUGUACCAUAACAAUUUUUGAUCAAUACACUCAGUUUUUUUUUUGCGUAGAUGAGGACAACCAAACUUUUUUCGAAAAUUUAUUAUAAUUAAUGGUGUUGUGUCGUUACUGUGCAUGUUAAGUUGAACGAACGAAUAGUGUAAGAGAGAUAGUCCGGCUAAUACUCGUCUAUGGUAGAUAAUGUUGGUAGACCUUAAUGCAGACAUUUACGAGAUGGCAUACGAAUCUCAUAUUAUAUAAAGCAUUAACGGCCCUUCAGAGAAAUGUAUUGUGUUAUUCAUCAUAAUAUAUUGUAUUGUCUAAAAUAAUAAUUAGAUAGAAAAUGUUCAAAAUAAAACAAAACAAACAAGACAUAA